UGGGGAAUAUUGCACAAUGGAGGGAACUCUGAUGCAGCGACGCCGCGUGAACGAAGAAGGCUUUCGAGUCGUAAAGUUCUUUUAUAUGGGAAGAUAAUGACGGUACCAUAAGAAAAAGCCCCGGCUAACUACGUGCCAGCAGCCGCGGUAAUACGUAGGGGGCUAGCGUUGUCCGGAAUUAUUGGGCGUAAAGCGCGCGCAGGUGGUUUAGAAAGUCUGAUGUGAAAGCCCACGGCUCAACCGUGGAGGGUCAUUGGAAACUAAUAAACUUGAGUGCAGGAGAGAAAAGUGGAAUUCCUAGUGUAGCGGUGAAAUGCGUAGAGAUUAGGAGGAACACCGGUGGCGAAAGCGGCUUUUUGGCCUGCAACUGACACUGAGGCGCGAAAGCGUGGGGAGCAAACAGG
rnacentral:rRNA from 1 species